CCUACGGGUGGCUGCAGUGAGGAAUCUUCCGCAAUGGGCGAAAGCCUGACGGAGCGACACCGCGUGAAGGAUGACACCCUUAUCGGGCGUAAACUUCUGUUAUGAGGGACGAAAUUUUUGACGGUACCUCAUGAGAAAGCACCGGCUAACUACGUGCCAGCAGCCGCGGUAAUACGUAGGGUGCAAGCGUUACUCGGAAUUACUGGGCGUAAAGCGUCCGCAGGCGUCUUUGUAUGUCUGGUGUAAAAGCACGGAGCUCAACUCCGGGUACGUACCGGAAACUGCAAACAUAGAGUCAUAUAGAGGCAACUGGAAUUUCAUGUGGAGGGGUAAAAUCCGUUGAGCCAUGAAGGAACGCCAAAAGCGAAGGCAGGUUGCUGGAUAUGUACUGACGCUCAGGGACGAAAGCGUGGGGAGCAAAGGGGAUUAGAUACCCGAGUAGUC
rnacentral:rRNA from 1 species